GAGACUUCUAAUGAGGCUGAUUCAUAUCAUGAUGUAUUUUACAAGCUAUUCUCAGCAGAUUCGCUGCAAUAUGUCAUUCUUUAUGUACCAUGAGAGAUACAUGAGCACACAAGCUUGAGAAGGGUGGGGAAGUCUCUCUGAGAAACAGACGAGUUUUGCACCUCGUGCUGAGGAAGGAAAGAAUUGGAAGUUCACAUCAGCUAUUGCUUCCAAGUCCUCCAGACCUCAGGUCAGCUGCGAGCUCCACUCCAAUAAACGUGAACAUUACAAGAGCUGUGUCUUAAAACUUAUUUCCAAGGAAGUGUCUCAUUUUAUUGCAGCACAAAAAAAAGAGACUCCAAGGUAAUAUUUACUUUGCUUUACAUUUCAUAAAAAAAAGAAGACUGUAAUUUCAUGGAGGCUCUAACAGGAAUUCCUCUUUCCAUCCAAGCGGAAGAAAUUGUGUUCAGGACCUUUCCCCGAGGGCUCGAGGAAAGCACUUGAACAUGGAAACUCCCACUCCACUUUAUUUGUGAGUUAGCCCUGCAGGAGGAUGAGGCAGGAGUUGAGACGCUAUAAGUGGACUAAGUGGCCAAAGCCUGUGACAUUAAGGAGUAGGAAAGGAUGCUGAGAGGAUAAUCUCAGAGAUGCAGCUCUCCAGCUGAUGAAAAUCAGAAGAGCCAGAUAAUCACUGAGAGGGAUUCCCACCUAGAAAGAAGGCAAUUGCAGGGGCUUUAAGAAAAAGGGUGCAGUAGUUGCUCCAGUUCUGCCUGUCAUUCCUGCACCACUGCCUUUCCAAGCACUGUCUCUUAAGAUGCUGGAGGAGGGGCUGAGGCCCUUUUAAUGAAGUGAAAGGAUGAGCGGGAGGCUGACCAGAACAGCAGUGGAAAGAGCAAAGACACAUGCUGAGAGCCCUGUGCAUGGGGAAACCAGAGCCGCAGCUUGUUCCAGACCCCGGAGCCUCUGAAGCACAGAUGUCUCCAGGAAAUCUUCAUGCUUCACCCCAACAGAGCUCUGGCCAGGAAAAGAAUCUCCUUGGUCUAUUUUAAGUUGUAAAAGGAAAGAAUAUGAGACUCUUCCUAAAUUCUUGAAACCGGUAUCUGGGCCUCUGGGAAUGAAGAAAGACUCUGACUGUGACUGCAUUUAGGGGCAGUACCAUUUCCUUGGGAGAUAUAAAUUGCAGUGAAGACAAACAAAAAUACUGCUGAGAGUAGAUCUGGCAAUUUUCAGGCCUAAUGAAUUUUCCAAGUCCCAGUAAAAAGGGAAGCUGCCUACAACUCUCCCUACAAGCUUCCAGACCUUCUGGCUCCUCAAAGUUCAGCAGAGCUUUCCAUUGUGGUGCCUCUUUGUGUAAUCCAUGAGUGUUGAACAUCUGGGAAUCAUCUUCUGUUUUCUGACAACUAUGAAGACUCUCAUACUUUGAGUAAGCUCUGCAAAGUUCAUUGUCCUGCCCAGCAGGUUUGUAAACUUUGUCAAAAGAACCAAGCAGAUGUUCUCCUGGGUCACUGGACAUCCAACUUUCUUACCUGCUUUGGAUGGGAAGUCACAUCAGUUUCAAUCUCUCCUACACGGCUUUUGUAUGUAAUGGCCUACAUUAAUUUGGUCAGCUUACACUAAGACACUCAGAAAAGCCAGGAAGCAUUCCAUUUCCACGAUAAAAAUAAAUGUUCAAGAUACUUCUUAGAAAUAUGCAUACAUUUUAAAAAUAAACCACACCAAAGAAAGUAAACAAAGCAAAAGCCUCUGCUAUUUUAUGAGACCAAUUUCAUUUCAAAGUGAAUUCAGACCUAUGACUUUGGUUAUGUCUGCUCUGGAACUUGAUAUCUGCCAGCAAGUCUGCAUCAGACAAAAUUUCCUGUGUGUUCAGGGAGAACCUGCAAGUGCAACUUCAUUCAGAGCACCAGAGCAACUCUGCAUCCUUUCCCUGAGUGUGCAACAACCUCAGUCCUCUCCUACUGUUAUGUGUGCAUGCUCCAGCUAUGCGGACACAAAGUGAGUGUGCAAACACAUUGCACACUGAUAGUCCUUGAGGGUGCCCUCUGCAUCCCAUACUGACACAAGAAAUCCCUGUGAAGCAGGGAUACUAAGGCAAAAACAGACCUGUAGGAUUUGAAGGGGAGUUGUGCAUUCUCACCACCUUGUUUAACAGGGUCAAAGACUGUAUUUAAAAAAAAAAAGAAAAAGAAAGAAAUCAUAUUCUCAUUAGGGUCUGCAGGCUUGGCUUGCCUAAGAACUGAAAUAACUUACUGCACUGAAGUUAGACUUGGAUUGCAAACAUAGGGGAAUACUUAAACCCACGCUUGUAUUUCACAUACUUCACAGGUUCUGAAUACUAUGAAUAUCAACUUUGAAUUGCUGUUGCACUAGACAGCAGACCUGACCAGACAGUUGCAAACACACCUGAGUAACACAGCUUCAACUCUGAGUUUAACACGAAUAAGUCACCUGAGUCAAAUUUAUUCACGUGUCUUUUUAAAGGCUCCAGUUCUCUGCUCAGGAGCAAAGUGCUGACACUCUUACUAAAAAGACAAUUCAGCUGGUCACAAACAUCAGUGACUAUAUUUGCAUCUGCCAUCACAAAUAUAUUUUGGUUUUAGAUGGGGGAGAAAAGAAAACAAACACAACAUUUUCUGGUUAAACAGAAACAGAGUAUGGUAUCACUGAGACUUUCUAAAGGAGAGUUUAUUUAAUUUAUUCUUCUGUACACAUAGCUAGUUUGCUAGGAUAUUAUAACUCAACUCAUUUCUCUGGUGACCCAUGGCAACCUCUGGAUCAAAAGGAUUACUCGUGACUCAUAACUUACCUUGCCUAAAUAUAAAUAUAGGGCUUUAGGUUAAGUAAUCUAGGCCUUAAUCAAUAAAACAUUUAAAGUGACAGUACAAGGAGGGAUUUCAAAAGUUGUGCUAUUUUAAUAUUAACUCCUAAUACCUGAAUUUCUGGGGCUGUUCUUUUCUGGUUUUAACAGAGAUGCCCCACAUCAAGGAUUUUCCAUGCAUUUUGUACGCACAAGUACAGCUGCACACAGUUUGAAUGUUCUCCUGUUCCAUAGCAGACAUAUGCUCAUUUUCCCUCACAGGAAAUCCAAGCAAUUGCCCCUGUGUGGAAUACCACAAUUAGGUGACCAUAAUUGCAUACCUAAUGAGCUUGUACAUGUUUUGAGUGCCAGUUUCUCAGAUGUGGCCACCUAAAUGGGUAUCUAAAAUCUCACUUUUGGGUGGUGAGGUUGACAAAAAACGUAUGAAAGUCUUAUUUCAUAUACUUAAAUUGGACCAUUUAAAUGCCCAAUACUUUCUUAAGUGCCUGCAUUUCAAUAUCAUGUCUUAAGUGCAAAUCGCCCAACCUUGUGGGCUAGCAUUGGCAACCAGAUGUUGAGAAAAUACAAAUUGAAUAAAAUACGACUCUUUCAAAAGAAGACUGGAAACUUUCCAAAUAACUGCAGGGAUGUAAGGUUACGAAAUUGUUUCUUCUCAGCCUGGGAAAUCACAGGGUCAUUCCUGUUAGUAGCCACAGCAGUGGGUUGAGGAAAGCAGAUCGUCUUGGCCAGCCCACAGUGCCAACCCAAACCCUCUGUAUCCAGAUGAGCAGAGGGCUGAGCACAGGACAAGGACUCCGCACUCCCAAGUAAUACAGCUUCUACAACCCAUACGUUCUCCCUUCUUUUCCUGACUGAACUCAUGGAUGUUUGUUACAGCACUUUGGAAAGCUGUACUAAGACCAGUCAGUAUGGCCACCCCAAGGGUAGUAGAGCUGUACAUAGUGACAACAAGCUGGAGUCUUAGAUACCCAAAGCAUUUUAUGUUUUUUGUACUGCUUAGCUAGCCUGGGGCAAGGAAUGAAAUGCAGCAUGGUGUAGACCACAGCAAUUUCAAAGUGUACAGGCACAAAUAGAUUAUUACACUUUAUAUGAUGUAAAAUGACUUUCUGACCAAGAAGGAAGUCAAGAUAUUGAUAAGAAGCUGGUUUUAUCUGGAAUUAUUUUGGUAUUACUGACUAGCUAACACUCUGUAAACAAAUAUCAACUACGCUUUCUGUUGUCUGUAGUUCCACUGAUUUCAGUGGUGAAGGUCUGGGCUAAUAAACUUUCCUCAGAGCUUGAAUAGUCCAAUUUAGGAAUAGGUGGAAAUGCUAGUUUCAGUUACUAAAUAACUGCAUAUUUUCUUUCUGAGGGAAAGAGCAGGAUUUGUAUCUGGCUUUUAUUCUUGCCCAGGGUAAUGGAAAAGAGCAGAUUAAUUGCAGCUUUAGAAACCCUUCCAUGAGUUCUUUAGUAUGAAUUAUUUUAUAUAAUUCACAGAGAAGGUGACAUGAUUUACAUCAAUAUAUACAGUUAAAUUGUUCUAUAUUGUAAACCAUUAGCAAAGAAGGAUGAAGGGCUUAUGAAGAGGAGUGGAGAGACUAUAAUGUUAUGACAGAAUGAAAAAUUUCUGGACAUGCAAGAAGACAUCACACUGUUUCCAUUGGAAGAUAGUUGUGUAUGUUUCCUACAGCAACUAUAAGAUCUUUGGCCUGUGCACUGUAGACUAUUCUCUGUUUAUUUUCAUUAUAUACCAGAACCUUUUUUACAGAAGAGCAGAGCAGACUGUACUUUAACUCCUAAAUUUGGGGGAGGAGGAAGUUCCACAAGGGUGUUAUGUGGCAGAGGGAUAUAACUCACAAUAAAUUGGUGUUAUCCGGUCACAUUGCUCAUCCAAGUCCUCAGUAAGGCAAGAAAAAUAUUUCUUACUGCACAGGCUGGUUCUUGCAGAGGCAUGAAGAGCCGCUGCCCCAUGUUUCCAUUCCCAAAUGAAGGAGAAAUGUCCUCAGUGUCAGCACACAGGGCUUCAUUCAGAGCUGCUGGAAUGUGAAACCCUGAGUUGAGGGAGCAAGAGAGAGCAGAGGCCUCUUCCUCCAUCAAGCAUGGGAGCUUGCAGUGGGUGGGUUUCAUGCUGGAGGCUUCCACCGGAGGCUAUGAGUGGAGAAAAGAGUACAGCAAACCCCAACCCAAAUGGUUUACGCUGAGAAACAGAACUCGCUCUGAAGAAAAGGGUUGGGAACCCAGAUGGCACUGAGGGAAGAAAAACUCUCUUAUUGUUGACACAGUUUAUCCUUCUCAGAAUAUAGUUUUGUUGUCCACUAUAAGCUGUAGUUCACCAUAAGGGAAAGGAGCACUUUCCAAGCCAUUACAGGACUCCUGAUUCUCUCUUCAGUUUGGUAGUGGCUUCAGCAUUGCAAGCUUUCUUUUUGGUGCUGAGUAUGCCUGAAGAAAAAUGAUCAACCCAACUCUUAAUCAUUCCUACAACUGUGUUUCAAGAAACAUUCUUGUUUUCUAAAGGGUGUUCAUUUUUUUCCCCUAGGGACCCAUUUAACUUUCCUUUCUAAUCUCCUAAUGAUCUGGAAUAAGGUCUUUAGUUGCUUUGCUUGUUGUGAAACAGCUUGGGGAGAUAGCUCCUAGUCCAUGUUAACCACACUUCAAAUACUCUUUGUAUGACUGAUGCAAAGCCAUAAUCUCCCAAAGCAAGUUUAUAACCAUUUUAACAACCGAGACUUAAGGAGGUUAUUGCAGGAUGGGCAGGGAGAGAGAGGUGAAGAACUGACCAAGGAAGCACAGUUCAGUUUGUCUUCCAAACAGCUCCAUAUCUCUUACAGCUUUACAAGGAUGAAGUGAUUGAUGAACAAACAAGAGGGCCUAAUCUCAAGUAAAGGAGAAGGGGGGAGGGGAGUAUUCUGACCAGCAGCCUUCUUCUGGAAGGUCAUACAAGCACAUUGCUAUUUCUUUGCAGUGAAGCAAAUGACUGAGUUUCAUAGGACUCAGAACCUUCAAACAGAAGUGAAACAUACCCUUGGGAUAAUGAAUUUUACAAGCUGUGAGGUCUGAAUGCACACACGUAGCAGCUGUGUGCUGUCCUUGGGGACAUCAAUGGAGAGUGUAAAAAAGAGGUAAAAACUUUGUAUUUUAACACCGAGGAAUAUAUUCCAUGAAGCUGUUCCUCAGUCAAAGUCUAUCUCUGACUUUUCUCUUUGGAUCUGCCUUUUAGGAAGAGAAACACUGCAUAUAUCAGGGACAGAAUACAGAUUUGGAUUUAAAAUUAAGAUGAUUUCAACAGCCCUUCAAAGAAGUCUCUCAAGAACAUAGUAAAACACACAGUCUUGUACACCGACAAAACUGCUUUGAGAGUACCUUCAUUUUUGACUGCUUUCUAUUUAUUCAAUUUCUUUUAAGUAAGCCUCAAUUAGUUUGGAGAUUCAAAUGUGGAGAAGAAGUAAGGGAAGCAAGAAGCUCAGCCCACCAAAUUGUGGCUCACUAGCAGAAUUUUCACAGCUUUAAAACAGUCUUCCUCCACAGGGCGCAGUGCUUCCGCCUAAACCUGCUUGUGAGAAUUUAUUAUCCCUGUGUGCAAGUCUUUGAAACCAGGAUUUUAACGGUAAUAAUUUCUCAGCAGUGAAAUUCAUGAGAGGCUGUAAUAUAAUGCCAAGUCUAUCCUAUUAUGGUUUUAAUUGGAAUAUACGUUUUAUGUGUUAUUAGAGCAAUGUUACUGUCCUCCUUAUGCUUAAUACUAUAUGAAUAGCUAAAGCCCUCUAAUGACCAUGUAAUUUAUUGUCCCUAUAGUUAUGGCAUUAAGCUACAAGUCACCUAAUACUUGCAAACAUUGUAAACUCCAAUUACAGCUACACCAGUGAUCCUUCUGUCAACUGAGCUAAAAAUGAGUCAAUGAUAAGGUUAAGCACUGAGCCACGUAACACAGUUAUCUGGAGCUCAGCACCUGUACUACAGAGAAAUGUCCAAUAAACUAUGGUUAAAUAGUUUUACUUUGUUAUCAGAUAUAAGUAUAGCAAAUACAAUCAGCUUCCAGAAUGAUGUUGAUCACCAUCAUUCCAACAAUCUUUUAUGUAUUUGUCAGCUUUAUCCUAAUUUACUGCUAACAGUCAAUCACUGCUUCUCAAGAACCUGAGAGAUUUCACAGACACCAGGUUGGAUUCUGGCUACCCCUACAGAAAAUCUUGGAGGCUCAUGAAAGUAUUGCCUGCAGCUUCUAUUCAAGAGAAGCAUUGUCUUCAAAUACCUACAUAAUGUCUUCAAAUGAUGGCUGGACUAGAUAAUCUUAAAGGUCUUUUCCAGCCUGGAUGAUUCUAUGAUUCUGUGAAAAGUACUGUAGAAAAAUAUAUUAAUCUUUAAGGUUUAUUUCCUUAUGGAUUACAUGUGUGUAUAUAUAUUCUCACAAACUGUAAAUUGCAUUUGUUUUGGAGACACAAGAGACACCAAAGAGAAUUGCAGCACCAGUUGCACUGGUAAUCUUAUAAAUGUCAGUGGAAAUUCUCUCCUGGCUGAUCCGUGAUAUAUGUGUAAUUCCUCUGGAUAAGCAUUCCUUUCAAAAGAAUACAUGUAGCAAACUGAAUACAUAAAAUGGAUAAAUCAUCCAUCCUCAUUCGUGGUGUGUGAUUAUUCACUUGUACCACGUAACAUUUCUGCAGCCCAGAAGGUGAACUAAAUCGUACUAAAGAGGAAAACAAGAAAUUGGACAUUUCAACCACACAUUUUUUAAAAGGAAUGAGCAGUCAGACUACAUUUUGUGACACAUUUGAGAUUUGUGUGUGGCUUCAUAUGUUUUCCCAUGACCAUCCAAAUAUUCAUGGAGAAUUAAUAACAUGGUCCUAUCUUUAGCAAGUUCCAUUCAUUCUUAUUUGUAUCUGGCUAUAAUCAGCACAGAGACCCCAAAUAUUGGACGACUGCAUUUGAUUCUUGAGUUCUUUUCUUUUUGUUUAUGUCAAAGCAAAUUAGCUGGAAGGACCCUGACGAGGAAAUCGACCAAACAGUGGAAGGUCAAGAGGGCAUUUCACUGAAAUGUAAUAUAAUAAGUACAACUUAAACAGUGACAAAUCCCAUUCACCUCUUUUGUUUUCUUGAAAUGUUUAGAAUUAUUUUUAACCGUCUUUUUAAUAAAUAAAAUUGUUCUAUUGGUUUAUCAUACAUUUGGAUUUCAUUAAUUUUAGAAUAUAUUCCAGGCAUCUAAAAUUAAACAGAUGUCAUUGGGCUCAUUUAGACCUCAAAUAACCCUUGCAACAAAACCAAUUAUUCAAGGGUCAGCUGGAAGUUGGAAUUUAAUAAUAAAGAAAAGUUUAAAAGUGAACAAAGAAAAGGAAGAAGAGGAAAAAGAAGCAGCAAUGCCAAUUCUCUGUCCACACAAUUAUUAGUGCAAAAAUAAAAAGUUGAAGAUCUAUUUUAAUAUGAG
ensembl:lncRNA